GACGAACGCUGGCGGCGUGCCUAACACAUGCAAGUCGAACGGACUGUUGUCCUUCGGGACAACAGUUAGUGGCGAACGGGUGAGUAACGCGUGGGUAACCUGCCCUUGUAUCGGGGAUAACUUGCCGAAAGGUGAGUUAAUACCGGAUUCUCUAUUGAGAUUGCAUGAUCUUAAUAGAAAAGGUGGCCUCUGAAUAUGCUACCGUAUAAGGAUGGACCCGCGUCUGAUUAGCUAGUUGGUGAGGUAACGGCCCACCAAGGCGACGAUCAGUAGCCGGCCUGAGAGGGUGAACGGCCACACUGGGACUGAGACACGGCCCAGACUCCUACGGGAGGCAGCAGUGGGGAAUCUUCCGUAAUGGACGAAAGUCUGACGGAGCAACGCCGCGUGGGUGAUGAAGGUUUUCGGAUUGUAAAGCCCUGUCUGGAGGGAAGAAAUAUUGACGGUACCUCCGGAGGAAGCCCCGGCUAACUACGUG
rnacentral:rRNA from 1 species